GCAAGACUAUUUCGAUGGAGUAAGGAAGUAGUUGAGCUUCUGAGAGGAGGCACAGAGGUAUUACUUUUCAUGACUCAGCAAUAUCUAAGUGCCCCAAUAGAUCUGGGUGCCUGAAGGUGCAGAGCCUCUGGGGAGGAUAAAGAAAGAAGUGGAUACCACUGCCACAUUUCCUUGAGCUUUGUAGAGAUGACAGCCCCUGAUUCUGCAGCUUUGGCCAGCUGGGGAAUUUCCCCUUGACACACCUCCAAGCUUUGAGGAUAGCAAAUCCAGCAAAAUAUAUUGCUGAUUUCAGGGCCUUCCCACACCUCUGUUCUGCACCCUUGACCCCAGACCUCUGAACUUCACAAUGUUCAUGUUCUUCCCACCUCUGUCUAAACUCCAAGGGAAAGCCUAUUGCUUUUCAGAGCUCUUUCUCUCUCUCCAUAUAUAUAUCAAGUUACUCAUUAGUACCUCAUUCCUGCUCUCCGAAAAGCAACACUAGGGACUUUCCCAGUAGUCUAGUGGUUAAGACUUCAUGGUGUGGCCAAAAAUUUUUUUUUAAAGAAAGAAAAGCAACACUAGGGAACAUACGUCCAUCAGGGUGGCGUACUCUAUGGCUUCUUCCUUGCUGCCUUCCACUUAUGGAGGUUGGAAAGCUUCUCCCACAGCUAGAAGUGGCUGGCAAAAUCUAAGGAGACAUCUGCUAGGAGUUUUCUGGAAAAUCUUUUGCUUCCUCAAGUAACAGAGGCAGUUGGUGCCACUGAUUUUCCCCCUUUCUCCCUUGAGUAGUUGUGUCAUACUCAAAGCUGGGGUAGCUCUCCUGUGACCUCAGGGUGACAGACACGAGGAUGAAAAGCUAAGAUGCCAAAGACGGUGAAAGAGCCCAGAUCCUUACUGAUGCUACUGAGCUGUCUACACCCAGAAUGCUUGUUUGUAAGCCAUAAGCACCCUCGGAUCAAAAGCCAGUGUUAGUUGAGUAUUCUAUUUCCUGUAAACAAAAGCAUUUUCUCUGAAACAGAAACGAGAGCAAACAGGUAGAAUCAAGUAAGCCAGCAAUUCAGACAUAAAAUAUUAGAGAAGACAGGGCUAAUAAACAGCGUGACCGACUUGUCUUGAUUUGCCUUGGGUUUUCUUGGUUUGGGCAUUGAAAGUCCCACACCCUGGAACUUGACAUCAGGUAAACAAGAAUACCUGAUCAUCCUACUUAGACAUACCAUCAGUUCAGAGACAAAAGUGCUAAGCCCGAAGGAAGAAAGAGGUGUGCCCAGGAUAACACAGGUUGUAGCCAAUCCUAGACUUUCCUAACUUCACACUGAGGGCUCUUCCAUCAUGUUGCAAAUCCACAAAGACAUGCUGUCCUUCUCUAGAAUCCGAAACUACCAAAAUUACCUCCUCCCACUGGAAAACAUGUGAUUUCCUGGAACUACUAAUUAGGACCUGUUUCAGUCUAGUGUAUAAGCCAUAGCUUCUGUGA
rnacentral:lncRNA from 1 species